rnacentral:rRNA from 2 species
UGGGGAAUAUUGCACAAUGGAGGAAACUCUGAUGCAGCGACGCCGCGUGAGUGAAGAAGUAUUUCGGUAUGUAAAGCUCUAUCAGCAGGGAAGACAGUGACGGUACCUGACUAAGAAGCUCCGGCUAAAUACGUGCCAGCAGCCGCGGUAAUACGUAUGGAGCAAGCGUUAUCCGGAUUUACUGGGUGUAAAGGGAGUGUAGGUGGUAUCACAAGUCAGAAGUGAAAGCCCGGGGCUCAACCCCGGGACUGCUUUUGAAACUGUGGAACUGGAGUGCAGGAGAGGUAAGUGGAAUUCCUAGUGUAGCGGUGAAAUGCGUAGAUAUUAGGAGGAACACCAGUGGCGAAGGCGGCUUACUGGACUGUAACUGACACUGAGGCUCGAAAGCGUGGGGAGCAAACAGG